rnacentral:rRNA from 1 species
AUUGAACGCUAGCGGGAUGCCUUACACAUGCAAGUCGAACGGAGUGGCGAACGGGUGAGUAAUGUAUCGGAACGUGCCCAGUAGCGGGGGAUAACUACGCGAAAGCGUAGCUAAUACCGCAUACUAUUGGAGCGGCCGAUAUCGGAUUAGCUAGUUGGUGGGGUAACGGCUCACCAAGGCGACGAUCCGUAGCUGGUGUGAGAGGACGACCAGCCACACUGGGACUGAGACACGGCCCAGGAUCCUUCGGGAGGCAAACGUGGGGCAUGUUGGACAAAGGGGGAAACCCUGAUCCAGGCAUCCCGCGUGUGCGAUGAAGGCCUUCGGGUUGUAAAGCACUUUUGGCAGGAAAGCGGUACCUGCAGAAGUAGCACCGGCUAACUACGUGCCAGCAGCCGCUGUAAUUC